AUUGAACGCUGGCGGCAGGCCUAACACAUGCAAGUCGAACGGUAACAGGAAGAAGCUUGCUUCUUUGCUGACGAGUGGCGGACGGGUGAGUAAUGUCUGGGAAACUGCCUGAUGGAGGGGGAUAACUACUGGAAACGGUAGCUAAUACCGCAUAAUGUCGCAAGACCAAAGAGGGGGACCUUCGGGCCUCUUGCCAUCGGAUGUGCCCAGAUGGGAUUAGCUAGUAGGUGGGGUAACGGCUCACCUAGGCGACGAUCCCUAGCUGGUCUGAGAGGAUGACCAGCCACACUGGAACUGAGACACGGUCCAGACUCCUACGGGAGGCAGCAGUGGGGAAUAUUGCGCAAUGGGCGCAAGCCUGAUGCAGCUAUGCCGCGUGUAUGAAGAAGGCCUUCGGGUUGUAAAGUACUUUCAGCGGGGAGGAAGGGAGUAAAGUUAAUACCUUUGCUCAUUGACGUUACCCGCAGAAGAAGCACCGGCUAACUCCGUG
rnacentral:rRNA from 1 species